rnacentral:pre_miRNA from 1 species
UUUACUGACGUUUCGGCUGGUGGACCAGCCUUUGUCAAAAGUGACAAAGGCUGGUCCACCAGCCGAAACGUCAGUAAAU